CCUACGGGAGGCAGCAGUGGGGGAUAUUGCACAAUGGGGGAAACCCUGAUGCAGCGACGCCGCGUGUGGGAAGACGGUCCUCUGGAUUGUAAACCACUGUCCCCAGGGACGAAGAUGACGGUACCUGGGGAGGAAGCUCCGGCUAACUACGUGCCAGCAGCCGCGGUAAUACGUAGGGCGCGAGCGUUGUCCGGAAUUACUGGGUGAAAAGGGAGCGUAGGCGGGGAUGCAAGUUGGGGGUCAAAACUACCGGCUCAACUGGUAGUCGCACUUAAAACUGCAGCUCUUGAGUGAAGUAGAGGCAGGCGGAAUGCGUAGUGUAGCGGUGAAAUGCGUAGAUAUUAGGAGGAACACCAGUGGCGAAGGCGGCCUGCUGGGCUUUUACUGACGCUGAGGCUCGAAAGUGUGGGGAGCAAACAGGAUUAGAUACCCGAGUAGUC
rnacentral:rRNA from 1 species